CCGACCUUAGCUCAGUUGGUAGAGCGGAGGACUGUAGAUCCUUAGGUCGCUGGUUCGAUUCCGGCAGGUCGGA